AGUGAACGCUGGCGGUAGGCCUAACACAUGCAAGUCGAACGGCAGCACAGUAAGAGCUUGCUCUUACGGGUGGCGAGUGGCGGACGGGCGAGGAAUACAUCGGAAUCUACUUUUUCGUGGGGGAUAACGUAGGGAAACUUACGCUAAUACCGCAUACGACCUACGGGUGAAAGCAGGGGAUCUUCGGACCUUGCGCGAUUGAAUGAGCCGAUGUCGGAUUAGCUAGUUGGCGGGGUAAAGGCCCGCCAAGGCGACGAUCCGUAGCUAGUCUGAGAGGAUGAUCAGCCACACUGGAACUGAGACACGGUCCAGACUCCUACGGGAGGCAGCAGUGGGGAAUAUUGGACAAUGGGCGCAAGCCUGAUCCAGCCAUACCGCGUGGGUGAAGAAGGCCUUCGGGUUGUAAAGCCCUUUUGUUGGGAAAGAAAAGCAGCAGGUUAAUACCCCGCUGUUCUGACGGUACCCAAAGAAUAAGCACCGGCUAACUUCGUG
rnacentral:rRNA from 1 species